AGCAGCCGCGGUAAUUCCAGCUCCAAUAGCGUAUAUUAAAGUUGUUGCAGUUAAAAAGCUCGUAGUUGAAUUUCGGGAUUGACCCAUCGGUCGUGCCUUAAGGGGUAUGAACUGGUGUAGUCAAUUUCUCACCUUCUGGAGAACCGCGAUGUCCUUAAUUGGGUGCCGCGAGGAACCAGGACCUUUACUUUGAAAAAAUUAGAGUGUUUAAAGCAGGCAUUUUUGCUUGAAUACAUUAGCAUGGAAUAAUAAAAUAGGACGGCAUGAUUCUAUUUUGUUGGUUUCUAGGAUCACCGUAAUGAUUAAUAGGGAUAGUUGGGGGCAUUAGUAUUCAAUUGUCAGAGGUGAAAUUCUUGGAUUUAUUGAAGACUAACUACUGCGAAAGCAUUUGCCAAGGAUGUUUUCAUUAAUCAAGAACGAAAGUUAGGGGAUCGAAGACGAUCAGAUACCGUCGUAGUCUUAACCAUAAACUAUGCCGGCUAGGAAUCAGACGAUGUUAAUUUUUUAAUGACUCGUUUGGCACCUUACG
rnacentral:rRNA from 1 species